UACGGAGGGAGCUAGCGUUGUUCGGAAUUACUGGGCGUAAAGCGCACGUAGGCGGCUCAGCAAGUCAGGGGUGAAAUCCCGGGGCUCAACCCCAGAACUGCCCUUGAAACUGCUAAGCUAGAAUCUUGGAGAGGCGAGUGGAAUUCCGAGUGUAGAGGUGAAAUUCGUAGAUAUUCGGAAGAACACCAGUGGCGAAGGCGACUCGCUGGACAAGUAUUGACGCUGAGGUGCGAAAGCGUGGGGAGCAAACAGG
rnacentral:rRNA from 1 species